rnacentral:rRNA from 1 species
UACAGAGGUCUCAAGCGUUGUUCGGAUUCAUUGGGCGUAAAGGGCGCGUAGGCUGCGGGGCAAGUCGGGUGUGAAAUCUCAGAGCUCAACUCUGAAACUGCACUCGAUACUGCUUUGCUCGAGGACUGGAGAGGAGAUUGGAAUUCACGGUGUAGCAGUGAAAUGCGUAGAUAUCGUGAGGAAGACCAGUGGCGAAGGCGGGAUCUCUGGACAGUUCCUGACGCUGAGGCGCGAAGGCCAGGGGAGCAAACGGG